rnacentral:piRNA from 1 species
CACACACACACUGACAAAUACCUGAAAAC